rnacentral:lncRNA from 1 species
GAGAGCUCAACUCAAAUGUCAUCUGCUCUGUUUGCCCCCCCAGACUCCCUGAGGGUGCCCUGCCUCCCUGCUCACUCCCAGCUCUGACUUCUCUUUUCUAUCACAUGUCACAGUUUAGCUGGGAUCUGGCCUCUGCUUGCUGCUGGCUAUGAGCUAUUUGACAGAAAGGACCCACUGUGAACUGAGCUGUGUCCUCCCAAAUUCAGAUGUUGAAGUCUUAACCCCCAGUGUGACUGUACUUGGAGAUAAGGCCUUGAGGGAGGUAAUUAGGUUUAUGAGGUCAUAAGGGUGGCACCCUAAUCUGAUAGGGCUGGUGUCCUCAUUGGAAGAGGAAGAGAUACCAGAGAUUGCUCUCUCUCAGUGUGCACAGAGAAGAUGCUAUGUGAGGACACAGGGAGAAGGUGACCAUCUUCAAGCCAGAAAGGGAGGCCUUGCGAUAAACCAGGUUGUUGGCAUCUUGAUCUUGGUCUUCCAGCCUCCAGAACUAUUAGCCCUGAGCUAACUGCUGCCAAUCUACCUCUUUUUGCUGAGGAAGACUGGCCCUGAGCUAACAUCCAUGCCCAUCUUCCUCGUUGGACGCCUACCACAGCAUGGUGUGCCAAGCGGUGCCAUGUCUGCACCCAGGAUCCCAACCGACGAACCCCGGGCUGCCGAAGCGGAACAUGCGCUCUUAACUGCUGUGCCACCAGGCCAGCCCCAGAGCCCUUUCUUAUUCCCUUUAAAAAUCUCUCGCAGCACCUGGCAUAUACAGACCCCCCGAAGCAAAUGUUUGCUGAACUGAAUUGUAAUCCCCGAAGGAAUGAGAGAUAGAUGGUGCCACUGGGGCCCUGGUCUGGACUCUCUGACAAACCCAGUGGCCAACCCUACUUCAUAUACACAGCAGAAGCCAGCCCAGCCCAGCAGCCCUCACCUACAGCUGCAAAAUCCAAAAAGCUCUGACCCCGGAAAGUCUGAGGCUGAACCUCAUUUAGGAGUAAAACCUGACCUGAACAAGAGUGAAACUACUUAAAAUUAUUUCACUAGGUUUUACAGUAGAGCUAUUAAUGUUUUUGAUCACUGGGCAUUGCCCCAGUUCUGGCUGAGAGUGUUAUAAAAUCUAUGCCUUAGGCAUCUGCUACCUUUCUAAAAUCCAAAAGACUCAGAAUUCCAAAAACAUAUCCGGCCCCAAGGGAUUUGGAUAAAAGCUCAUGGACCUGUGCUACAUAAGGGUCCAAGCUUACUGCCAUAAUGCCAACCCCACCGCUGUCAACUCAAGGAAGACCAUGGGAAAAGCUAAUCAUCUAUGUAAAUAAACUGCAAUUGGUAUUUGAACAGAAGGAGAAAUAACUUAAACCCAGUGUGGGGAGAUGCGUGAUUGGAAUUAAAACAUGUUUAUUGAUAUGCAC